UACGAAGGGGGCUAGCGUUGUUCGGAAUUACUGGGCGUAAAGCGCGCGCAGGCGGUCUUCCAAGUCAGUGGUGAAAGCCCGGAGCUCAACUCCGGAACUGCCAUUGAAACUGUAAGACUUGAGGAUGAGAGAGGUGAGUGGAAUUCCCAGUGUAGAGGUGAAAUUCGUAGAUAUUGGGAAGAACACCGGUGGCGAAGGCGGCUCUCUGGACCGAUACUGACGCUGAGGCGCGAAAGCGUGGGGAGCAAACAGG
rnacentral:rRNA from 1 species